GGUUAUUGUCAAAUAUUAAGCCAUUCUUAGCAUUUGUUUAAGAAAACUAUUUCAUAAUAAUGGCAGUAUUCUGGGCCUGGGGGUUUUCGCUCAGUGGUAAACACUUCCCUAGCAUGCAGAGGGCUCUGGGUCCGUCCUCAGCACUGCAAUAAUAAAGUUAAAAUAACGGCAGCCCUCCUGUACCAGAAGUCACUCAAAUAAUGUUCUAAACACUGUCUGGCUCCCCACUAUUUCUCCGUUAUGUACGGGAUAACAUCAGCACCUAAUCUUAAAAGCUUCUUCAUGUAUUUCAUAGAGGGAAAAAAAAGAAUCCUUUCUCUUUGGUGCCUCCUUUAUGUGGCUCUGUGUCCUCUUGGAGCAGUCAAUACACAACGAUGUACUUUUAAAUAACCAGAUUCAAAACACGAAGACCAUUUUUGAUUGGAAUUAAAUACGGAAGAACAAAACCCCUUGUGUGAUAAGAUACGGAGGGGAAACAAACUCUAUACCGAGAAGUCGAGGAAGGAGUUUUUCAAUCAAAUUUCUUCUAACAAGAGACCAUGGGAUAUUUAUGUGCAGUGUGUGGAAUUCAUUUUCUACCUUUCCUAAUACGUGCGCUCAAGGCGGGAACUGAUCGUGUCAUUUCUGUAAAGCGGAAGAUACUUUUUAUAAGCUACAGGUAACUGAGGAAUGAAAGAAGUAAUUCACUAGAGACGCUUGUUGAUAAUUGACCUUUAGGUAUAUUGUUAUAAAUGAAUGAUUGUAUUUAUGUAUUUAUUUGUUCGAAAUUGUACAUAUGGUUUUGCCAAAAGUAACUGUGUGUUGAAGUGCACUCUCUGGGUUUGUAGUGCUAUUUAGGGUUACAUGGGUUGCCAAUCAAGCUGCUAAUCAGAAUACUAUUUUUUUGUAUCAGUGUUACAACAUGUGACGAAUAGAUGACGCUGUCUUUCCAUUCAUUCUCUCUCCCUUCCUCUUGAAAUGUAAACUGUUGGUUGAAAGCGCGAUGCGGUUGGACAGGCCCAUCUGUCAAGAGGAGGAUCAUGGUUUCAUAAGACUGAUUUUUUUAAACUCCUGAGACAAAUAAACAAAAGAAGAACUC
rnacentral:lncRNA from 1 species